UACGUAGGGGGCAAGCGUUAUCCGGAUUUACUGGGUGUAAAGGGAGCGUAGACGGCACGGCAAGCCAGAUGUGAAAGCCCGGGGCUCAACCCCGGGACUGCAUUUGGAACUGCUGAGCUAGAGUGUCGGAGAGGCAAGUGGAAUUCCUAGUGUAGCGGUGAAAUGCGUAGAUAUUAGGAGGAAUACCAGUGGCGAAGGCGGCUUGCUGGACGAUGACUGACGUUGAGGCUCGAAAGCGUGGGGAGCAAACAGG
rnacentral:rRNA from 1 species